rnacentral:rRNA from 1 species
CACUCCUACGGGAGGCAGCAGUGGGGAAUAUUGGACAAUGGGCGCAAGCCUGAUCCAGCCAUGCCGCGUGAGUGAUGAAGGCCCUAGGGUUGUAAAGCUCUUUUGUGCGGGAAGAUAAUGACGGUACCGCAAGAAUAAGCCCCGGCUAACUUCGUGCCAGCAGCCGCGGUAAUACGAAGGGGGCUAGCGUUGCUCGGAAUCACUGGGCGUAAAGGGUGCGUAGGCGGGUCUUUAAGUCAGGGGUGAAAUCCUGGAGCUCAACUCCAGAACUGCCUUUGAUACUGAAGAUCUUGAGUUCGGGAGAGGUGAGUGGAACUGCGAGUGUAGAGGUGAAAUUCGUAGAUAUUCGCAAGAACACCAGUGGCGAAGGCGGCUCACUGGCCCGAUACUGACGCUGAGGCACGAAAGCGUGGGGAGCAAACAGGAUUAGAAACCCCGGUAGUCCCA